rnacentral:rRNA from 1 species
AUUGAACGCUGGCGGCAUGCUUUACACAUGCAAGUCGAACGGCAGCGCGGGGGCAACCCUGGCGGCGAGUGGCGAACGGGUGAGUAAUAUAUCGGAACGUACCCAAGAGUGGGGGAUAACGUAGCGAAAGUUACGCUAAUACCGCAUACGAUCUAAGGAUGAAAGCAGGGGAUCGCAAGACCUUGUGCUCCUGGAGCGGC